UACGCAGGGUGCAAGCGUUAAUCGGAAUUACUGGGCGUAAAGCGUGCGCAGGCGGUGAUGUAAGACAGAUGUGAAAUCCCCGGGCUCAACCUGGGAACUGCAUUUGUGACUGCAUCGCUGGAGUGCGGCAGAGGGGGAUGGAAUUCCGCGUGUAGCAGUGAAAUGCGUAGAUAUGUGGAGGAAUACCGAUGGCGAAGGCAGCCCCCUGGGAUAACACUGACGCUCAUGCACGAAAGCGUGGGGAGCAAACAGG
rnacentral:rRNA from 1 species